CCUAAAUCGACCAUUCAAAACCCCAUCCAAAAACCCGUGGGGGAGGUCGACGGAUCCAAGAAGAGGAAGCACGAGCCCCCAGCGGCGAAGGGAGGGGGGAAGCUUAAGUUGACGUAGCUUAAGAACACCGCCUCCAAGCCGACGAAGCUCAAAACGCAAGGCUUCAAGAAGCAGUACAAGGCAUUCGAGUUAAAACUGGGAAAGCCUACCAAGUCCGACGAUGAGGCCACUGUACAGGUGAAGAAGGAGCCUAAGACCCCAAGGGAGAGGUGCUUGGCUACCAAGGAUGCUUCGAUCAGGAUUAGACAAUUAAAGCAGGAAGAAUCAUGUUGGGCCAAAGGAAUAUGUCAUAAGAUUGGACGUCGAGCUAAAGGAUCGGUCGAUGUAUCGAUAGAAGGCUUCGGGCCAUGGAUUCGGGCAUCGGACCAAGAAGAGCAUAUAUUACGCCAACGAUAUCAGAGUUACGGAUUCAACUAGCUUAUUGGGCAAUAGGCCGCAAAAGAGGGUAUUGCGCCGAAGAAUCGGACGAAGCGUCGAUGGACCAAUGACAUGCCGGACAACAUGAUUCAUACUUAGUAAUAAUUAUCUAGAUCGAAGUGUGUUUUUACAUGUGCAGGAUUAACUACGAUAGCAAGACAUAAAACAAAAAUGAAGUCCCAGAGUCAAGAACGCGAUUUCGUUGGGAGUUCUAGAGUUUGUCGAAAGUCUAGACGUUCGUCAGAAGUUCUGCCGGAACCAACCGAGAAGUCUUGAAGCUUGCCAAAGAAGCUUAUCGAAACUCACCAAGAAGAUCGUCGUGAAGUCCAGGAGCUUGCUGGGAGUCCGCUGGAACAUUGCCGAGAGAUCGUCGGAAGUUCGCUAGAAGAUCGCCGGAAGAAACCUAGACUUACGAACUUUUUUUAGCUUAGUAAAUGUCUUAAAUUUCAUAGUUAGCACAUAAUUAGGAUUAGAAUUGGGCCCAAGUUUGGGCUUUUUUGGGCCAAGAGAAAGACUCAAACAAUGAUCAAACAAGUGAAACCGUCAUGGCACAAUCUUCGAGAUUGUGUCAGGUGGUGGUACCGCUAGUCUGGGCAGUGGUACCACCCAGAUACAGUCUUCUAGGUGGUGGUACUACCAGACUAGGCGGUGGUACUGCCCGUACCCUGAAAUUUCGGGGGUUUGAAUUUUGUGCUCCAAAUUUGAAUCCAUUUGGGGCCUAUAAAUACCCCAGCUAUUCCUACAUGGAAAGGUAAGAAAUAUUGAGCAAAACUCUAUGAUUCUAAAGUUGUAAACCUUGGAAAGUUUAGUUCCCUCCUCCCAAAGCUUAGAGAGAGUUCUAAGGGAGGUGUGAGAGGGAUACCUUGUAAAAGAGGGUUGUAAAAGGUUGUCCCCUAAACCUGUGAAAAGGAGAAAAGGGAUGUAAAAGGAUAGUCAGUCUUCGCCCAUUGAAAGAAGAUCGAUAGUGGAUGCUGGUAGUCUCGACGGAAGAGGAAUCGACGAAGUGGAUGUAGGUCACGACGACCGAACCACAAUAAAAAUCUGGUUUACGUUUCUCUUGUGUAAUAUACUUUAUUGUAAACCACUUUACUUGCUUUACAUCCACUACUCUUCCGUACGCUUUCAAAGUUAAUACCUUUACGAAAUGGUUUUUCGUCGGAAACUGAUUUAAUCGCAAUGAAGUUUUGAACCGAUGUAAUUUUUACCGCUGCACUAAUUCAACCCCCUCUUAGUGCCAACUCUUUUCCUAACAAAACAGUGAUGUUUGAGAAUGUUUGUAGAUUUUUUAUAUCAUUUGGUUUGUCCAGGAAAUGGCAGAAACAAGGAAUAAGAAGAGGAAACCAAAUUACAACCAUGAGAAAGAAAUGGCUGAAACAAGGAAGAAGAAGAGGAAACCAAAUUACAACCUUGAGAAAAGUUUGCUUCAUGGUGGGAAAAAAUGAGAUGUUACAAUGUAGGCAAACAGGCGAUAUCGGAGUAAGUUCUCAACUGUUUUAUUGCACUCCAUUAGCUCUCUGCUAUUUAUGGGGAUAGUAUUUCUUUAGGCUUGUAAGUGAAUUCUUACGUAAGAUGAAUGAGAAGUUUGUGGAGAUUACAGGCUCUCAUGUUGCGGCACGUGUUCUUCAAGUGAUUUUAAGUUCAUACUUCUGACAUUUUUCUUGUGAACAACUAACUUCUAAAUUUUAUGUGUUCUCAAUGUUAUAUGACAAAGCAUGUGAUGGAUAUUAUGCUUUUUCAUUCUAUUAUUAAAUUAUUUAGUUCUUUUAUGGUGUUUUACUAUUUACCAGAUGUGUGUCAAAUAUUGUACACAAGAAGAAAGAGAUGUUGGUUUUUAGGCUCUUCGGCCUCAUCUUCUUUCUCUUUCAUGGAAAAAGUAUACAGCUUAUUUAGUAAAGAAACUUUUAGAUCAUGGUAUGUCAUAUAACUUGUGAACUGGAUAUGUUUUAUAGUAAAGCUAGACUUGAAUUAUGUGGAUCUUUUCCAUUGUUGAAUUAGAUUUCUUUUGUGUGUUCCUCAAUGAGCAGAAAACAACUAGAAUGGUUCAUAUCCUCUCUACAUGGAUAUGUGACUUCUCUUAUGCGACAUUCGGUUGGAUCUACAUGUUUGUAGGGUAUAAAAAAUUUAAGCAUUCUAGUAUAUUGUUAUUUAAUCAUAAUUUUGAUUAUGGAAAAUGGACCUGUGGGCUAUUUACAAUUCAAAUUUAAUUAUACUGUAACUGCAUGAGGUGUAAUUUAGAGGAAUUCUUAUCGAGGCAUCUUGCCACAAUUUUAUUAAUUUGGAGUUUAUACAUGUGUCUAGUUUAACAAUUGUUGCCCAAAUUUUAGCUUUUGUGAUUGCUCUAUUUUUAUUUUGUCAAAAACAACCCUUCUCCUUUGCCCUCCUUCUGUAACCCCUCUUCUAUAUCUAGGAAUGCUAAGGUUUAAAGCCUUAAGACUUGCCAAUCCAAUGAGUUGAGGUUGCUUAGAUUUAUAAUGAGACUUGAUAAAAGCUUUUAUGAGUAAGUGUAUAGUUUAUCAUUAUUAUAUGGUCUUGUUAUGGACCUUGCUCAUGAUAUUUGAGCUUAACUUAUCUACUUAUCGUCAUGACUUUUUGCUGUGGUUAACUCGAUCUUUUCUUUGGAAAGGCUAUUGAUAUACAUAAUUCAGGUUCAGUUUAAUUCAACAAGUCUUUUAUAUAUGAAUACAUAUAACACAUGCCAUUUUUAACGUAAAUUAAGCUAAAUUCUCUUUUAUACGUAGAUGCAAAUUAUAUGAUCAUUUGACUGAAUUGUUUAGGUUUACAACAAUGGCCCCCACCUACCACCAACACUAGCCCCCCUAUGAAAUAAAAAAUUGCUUAUUCUGUACCUUUUUAUUUACUUUGAUCCAUCCAAAAAAUCCCUCAAAAAAUGAACAGUCAUUUUGAGUGUUACACAUCUUUUGGUGAGAUUGUUGUGCACUCUCUCUUUUUAUCGCCGAUAUGUGUUGGCUUAUUUUUUUUAAAAAAAGAUUUUUAGAGCUUUUGUAUAACUGCUUAUAUUUUUAAUAACUUUUUAACAAAUUUUUUUGGGAUCUUGUUUC